rnacentral:rRNA from 1 species
UUAGAGUUUGAUCCUGGCUCAGGACGAACGCUGGCGGCGUGCCUAAUACAUGCAAGUAGAACGCUGAAGAGAGGAGCUUGCUCUUCUUGGAUGAGUUGCGAACGGGUGAGUAACGCGUAGGUAACCUGCCUUGUAGCGGGGGAUAACUAUUGGAAACGAUAGCUAAUACCGCAUAACAAUGGAUGACACAUGUCAUUUAUUUGAAAGGGGCAAUUGUUCCACUACAAGAUGGACCUGCGUUGUAUUAGCUAGUAGGUGAGGUAAUGGCUCACCUAGGCGACGAUACAUAGCCGACCUGAGAGGGUGAUCGGCCACACUGGGACUGAGACACGGCCCAGACUCCUACGGGAGGCAGCAGUAGGGAAUCUUCGGCAAUGGGGGCAACCCUGACUGAGCAACGCCGCGUGAGUGAAGAAGGUUUUCGGAUCGUAAAGCUCUGUUGUAAGUCAAGAACGGGUGUGAGAGUGGAAAGUUCACACUGUGACGGUAGCUUACCAGAAAGGGACGGCUAACUACGUGCCAGCAGCCGCGGUAAUACGUAGGUCCCGAGCGUUGUCCGGAUUUAUUGGGCGUAAAGCGAGCGCAGGCGGUUUGAUAAGUCUGAAGUUAAAGGCUGUGGCUCAACCAUAGUUCGCUUUGGAAACUGUCAAACUUGAGUGCAGAAGGGGAGAGUGGAAUUCCAUGUGUAGCGGUGAAAUGCGUAGAUAUAUGGAGGAACACCGGUGGCGAAAGCGGCUCUCUGGUCUGUAACUGACGCUGAGGCUCGAAAGCGUGGGGAGCGAACAGGAUUAGAUACCCUGGUAGUCCACGCCGUAAACGAUGAGUGCUAGGUGUUGGAUCCUUUCCGGGAUUCAGUGCCGCAGCUAACGCAUUAAGCACUCCGCCUGGGGAGUACGACCGCAAGGUUGAAACUCAAAGGAAUUGACGGGGGCCCGCACAAGCGGUGGAGCAUGUGGUUUAAUUCGAAGCAACGCGAAGAACCUUACCAGGUCUUGACAUCCCGAUGCUAUUUCUAGAGAUAGAAAGUUACUUCGGUACAUCGGUGACAGGUGGUGCAUGGUUGUCGUCAGCUCGUGUCGUGAGAUGUUGGGUUAAGUCCCGCAACGAGCGCAACCCCUAUUGUUAGUUGCCAUCAUUCAGUUGGGCACUCUAGCGAGACUGCCGGUAAUAAACCGGAGGAAGGUGGGGAUGACGUCAAAUCAUCAUGCCCCUUAUGACCUGGGCUACACACGUGCUACAAUGGUUGGUACAACGAGUUGCGAGUCGGUGACGGCGAGCUAAUCUCUUAAAGCCAAUCUCAGUUCGGAUUGUAGGCUGCAACUCGCCUACAUGAAGUCGGAAUCGCUAGUAAUCGCGGAUCAGCACGCCGCGGUGAAUACGUUCCCGGGCCUUGUACACACCGCCCGUCACACCACGAGAGUUUGUAACACCCGAAGUCGGUGAGGUAACCUUUUGGAGCCAGCCGCCUAAGGUGGGACAGAUGAUUGGGGUGAAGUCGUAACAAGGUAGCCGUA